rnacentral:rRNA from 1 species
GACGAACGCUGGCGGCGUGCCUAACACAUGCAAGUCGUACGAGGACGGUCCUUCGGGACCGAGCCGAGUGGCGGACGGGUGAGUAACACGUGACCAAUCUGCCUUUGAGAGGGGGAUAACCUGGGGAAACCCGGGCUAAUACCGCAUGAUGUGCCGUGGUCGCAUGGCCGUGGCAUUAAAGGGAGGCCUCUACUUGUAAGCUUCCGCUCGAAGAGGAGGUCGCGACGUAUCAGCAGUUGGUAGGGUAACGGCCUACCAAGGCUACGACGCGUAGCGGGUCUGAGAGGACGACCCGUCACAUUGGGACUGAGAUACGGCCCAGACUCCUACGGGAGCAGCAGUGGGGAAUAUUGCGCAAUGGCCGAAAGGCUGACGCAGCGACGCCGCGUGUGGGAGGAAGCCC